rnacentral:ncRNA from 1 species
CGGGAUCCGUCCCGUUGGAAUGUGGCUGCUAAAAGCAUGCGGCUGAACCGUGAA